GGGUAAUUUUCCGCAAUGGGCGAAAGCCUGACGGAGCAAGACCGCGUGGGGGAAGAAGGCUCUUGGGUUGUAAACCCCUUUUCUCUGGGAAGAACGCAAUGACGGUACCAGAGGAAUCAGCAUCGGCUAACUCCGUGCCAGCAGCCGCGGUAAGACGGAGGAUGCAAGCGUUAUCCGGAAUGAUUGGGCGUAAAGCGUCCGCAGGUGGCAGUUCAAGUCUGCUGUCAAAGACCGGGGCUCAACCUCGGAAAGGCAGUGGAAACUGAACAGCUAAAGUAUGGUAGGGGCAAAGGGAAUUCCUGGUGUAGCGGUGAAAUGCGUAGAGAUCAGGGAGAACAUCGGUGGCGAAGGCGCUUUGCUGGACCAUAACUGACACUCAGGGACGAAAGCUAGGGGAGCGAAUGGGAUUAGAUACCCCAGUAGUCCUAGCCGUAAACGAUGGAUACUAGGUGUUGUCUGUAUCGACCCGGACAGUGCCGUAGCUAACGCGUUAAGUAUCC
rnacentral:rRNA from 1 species